AAGACCUUGCGCUUUUAGAGCGGCCGAMGCCUGAUUAGCUUGUUGGUAAGGUAAAGGCUUACCAAGGCUUCGAUCAGUAGCUGGUCUGAGAGGACGACCAGCCACACUGGGACUGAGACACGGCCCAGACUCCUACGGGAGGCAGCAGUGGGGAAUUUUGGACAAUGGGGGCAACCCUGAUCCAGCCAUGCCGCGUGAGUGAAGAAGGCCUUCGGGUUGUAAAGCUCUUUCAGCCGGAACGAAACGGUUACGGUUAAUACCCGUGACUAAUGACGGUACCGGAAGAAGAAGCACCGGCUAACUACGUGCCAGCAGCCGCGGUAAUACGUAGGGUGCGAGCGUUAAUCGGAAUUACUGGGCGUAAAGCGUGCGCAGGUGGUUUUGUAAGUCAGAUGUGAAAGCCCCGGGCUCAACCUGGGAACU
rnacentral:rRNA from 1 species